UACGUAGGGGGCUAGCGUUGUCCGGAUUUAUUGGGCGUAAAGAGCGUGUAGGCGGCCAUGUAGGUCCGGUGUGAAAACUCGAGGCUCAACCUCGAGACGUCGACGGAAACCGUCUGGCUAGAGUCCGGAAGAGGAGUGUGGAAUUCCUGGUGUAGCGGUGAAAUGCGCAGAUAUCAGGAAGAACACCUAUGGCGAAGGCAGCACUCUGGGACGGUACUGACGCUGAGACGCGAAAGCGUGGGGAGCGAACAGG
rnacentral:rRNA from 1 species